AUUGAACGCUGGCGGCGUGCUUAACACGUGCAAGUCGAACGCGAAAGGGACUUCGGUCCUGAGUAAAGUGGCGCACGGGUGAGUAACGCGUGGAUAAUCUGCCCUUAUGAUCGGGAUAACAGUUGGAAACGGCUGCUAAUACCGGAUACGCUCAAAAUGAACUUUUUGAGGAAAGAUGGCCUCUGCUUGCAUGCUAUCGCGUAAGGAUGAGUCCGCGUCCCAUUAGCUUGUUGGCGGGGUAACGGCCCACCAAGGCAUCGAUGGGUAGCCGAUUUGAGAGGAUGAUCGGCCAAACUGGAACUGAAACACGGUCCAGACGCCUACGGGAGGCAGCAGUGGGGAAUAUUGCGCAAUGGGCGAAAGCCUGACGCAGCGACGCCGCGUGAGGGAUGAAGGUUUUCGGAUCGUAAACCUCUGUCAGAAGGGAAGAAACUACGUUGUGCUAAUCAGCAGCGUACUGACGGUACCUUCAAAGGAAGCACCGGCUAACUCCGUGCCAGCAGCCGCCGUAA
rnacentral:rRNA from 1 species